UCUCGAAUCUUUCACAAUGGGCGCAAGCCUGAUGGAGCAACGCCGCGUGGGGGACGAAUGUCUUCGGAUUGUAAACCCCUGUCACCAAGGAUAAACCGUAGUCGGUUAAUACCCGGCUGCCUGAUGUAACUUGGAGAGGAAGAGGUGGCUAACUCUGUGCCAGCAGCCGCGGUAAUACAGAGACCUCAAGCGUUAUUCGGAUUUACUGGGCGUAAAGGGUGCGCAGGCGGCCAGGUGUGUCUAGGGUGAAAUUUUGCGGCUUAACCGUAAAACUGCCUUAGAAACUACCUGGCUAGAGUAUCGGAGAGGUAAGCGGAAUUCCUGGUGUAGCAGUGAAAUGCGUAGAUAUCAGGAGGAACACCAAUGGCGAAGGCAGCUUACUGGACGAUUACUGACGCUCAGGCACGAAAGCAUGGGUAGCGAAAGGGAUUAGAUACCCCCGUAGUCC
rnacentral:rRNA from 1 species